rnacentral:rRNA from 1 species
UGUGCCCUUGAGGCGUGGCUUCCGGAGCUAACGCGUUAAGUCGACCGCCUGGGGAGUACGGCCGCAAGGUUAAAACUCAAAUGAAUUGACGGGGGCCCGCACAAGCGGUGGAGCAUGUGGUUUAAUUCGAUGCAACGCGAAGAACCUUACCUACUCUUGACAUCCAGAGAACUUACCAGAGAUGCAUUGGUGCCUUCGGGAACUCUGAGACAGGUGCUGCAUGGCUGUCGUCAGCUCGUGUUGUGAAAUGUUGGGUUAAGUCCCGCAACGAGCGCAACCCUUAUCCUUUGUUGCCAGCGGUCCGGCCGGGAACUCAAAGGAGACUGCCAGUGAUAAACUGGAGGAAGGUGGGGAUGACGUCAAGUCAUCAUGGCCCUUACGAGUAGGGCUACACACGUGCUACAAUGGCGCAUACAAAGAGAAGCGAACUCGCGAGAGCAAGCGGACCUCAUAAAGUGCGUCGUAGUCCGGAUUGGAGUCUGCAACUCGACUCCAUGAAGUCGGAAUCGCUAGUAAUCGUAGAUCAGAAUGCUACGGUGAAUACGUUCCCGGGCCU